GGAUUUGAGGGCAAUCUGGUUGCAACAACUGUCACCCCUUUGAUGGCCAAGGUUGAUUAGGCUGAUCUGGCUGGCUAGGCGGGUGUCCCCUUUAUCCCUCACCCCUCCAUGUGUGUCCCUCCUGAAGAUGCGAAGCUACACUCUUGGUUGAAGAGGAUGACCUUUCCCAAAAUUGAGGAGGAUAGGUCUUCGGUCAAGGGUAUACCAAGUAGCUGUGUUCCCCUGCUAGAACCUCCAAAUAAGCUCAAGGUCCAUUUAUAAUUUAAUUUUUACACAUAUACUUUGAAACAAUGAAAUGCACUUUCUAUGAGU
rnacentral:snRNA from 1 species